rnacentral:rRNA from 1 species
GACGAACGCUGGCGGCGUGCCUAAUACAUGCAAGUCGAACGAGAGCGACCGGUGCUUGCACUGGUCAAUCUAGUGGCGAACGGGUGAGUAACACGUGGGUAACCUGCCCAUCAGAGGGGGAUAACAUUCGGAAACGGAUGCUAAAACCGCAUAGGUUCUACAGUCGCAUGACUGAAGAAGGAAAAGAGGCUUCGGCUUCUGCUGAUGGAUGGACCCGCGGUGCAUUAGCUAGUUGGUGAGGUAACGGCUCACCAAGGCCGUGAUGCAUAGCCGACCUGAGAGGGUGAUCGGCCACAUUGGGACUGAGACACGGCCCAAACUCCUACGGGAGGCAGCAGUAGGGAAUCUUCCGCAAUGGACGCAAGUCUGACGGAGCAACGCCGCGUGAGUGAAGAAGGAUUUCGGUUCGUAAAACUCUGUUGUUAGAGAAGAACAGCGCAUAGAGUAACUGUUAUGCGUGUGACGGAUCUAACCAGAAAGC